rnacentral:rRNA from 1 species
GACGAACGCUGGCGGCGUGCUUAACACAUGCAAGUCGAACGGAAAGGCCCUGCUUUUGUGGGGUGCUCGAGUGGCGAACGGGUGAGUAACACGUGAGUAACCUGCCCUUGACUUUGGGAUAACUUCAGGAAACUGGGGCUAAUACCGGAUAGGAGCUCCUGCUGCCUGGUGGGGGGUGGAAAGUUUCGGCGGUUGGGGAUGGACUCGCGGCUUAUCAGCUUGUUGGUGGGGUAGUGGCUUACCAAGGCUUUGACGGGUAGCCGGCCUGAGAGGGUGACCGGCCACAUUGGGACUGAGAUACGGCCCAGACUCGUACGGGAGGCAGCAGUGGGGAAGAUUGCACAAUGGGCGGAAGCCUGAUGCAGCAACGCCGCGUGCGGGAUGACGGCCUUCGGGUUGUAAACCGCUUUCGCCUGUGACGAAGCGUGAGUGACGGUAAUGGGUAAAGAAGCACCGGCUAACUACGUG